rnacentral:rRNA from 1 species
AUGAACGCUGGCGGCGUGCUUAACACAUGCAAGUCGAGCGAAGUUAUUAGAGCUUGCUUGAUAACUUAGCGGCGGACGGGUGAGUAACGCGUGGGUAACCUGCCCUGUACAGAGGAAUAACAGUUAGAAAUGACUGCUAAUGCCUCAUAAGCCGACGGAAUGGCAUCUUUUUGUCGGAAAAGAUUUAUCGGUACAGGAGGGACCCGCGUCUGAUUAGCUAGUUGGUGAGGUAACGGCCCACCAAGGCGACGAUCAGUAGCCGACCUGAGAGGGUGAUCGGCCACAUUGGAACUGAGACACGGUCCAAACUCCUACGGGAGGCAGCAGUGGGGAAUAUUGCACAAUGGGGGAAACCCUGAUGCAGCAACGCCGCGUGAAGGAAGAAGUAUUUCGGUAUGUAAACUUCUAUCGACAGGGAAGAUAAUGACGGUACCUGAAUAAGAAGCACCGGCUAAAUACGUGCCAGCCGCCGC